rnacentral:rRNA from 1 species
AGUGGGGAAUAUUGCACAAUGGGCGCAAGCCUGAUGCAGCAACGCCGCGUGAGGGACGACGGCCUUCGGGUUGUAAACCUCUUUUAGCAGGGAAGAAGCGAAAGUGACGGUACCUGCAGAAAAAGCGCCGGCUAACUACGUGCCAGCAGCCGCGGUAAUACGUAGGGCGCAAGCGUUAUCCGGAAUUAUUGGGCGUAAAGAGCUCGUAGGCGGUCUGUCGCGUCUGCUGUGAAAACCCGAGGCUCAACCUCGGGCCUGCAGUGGGUACGGGCAGACUAGAGUGCGGUAGGGGAGAUUGGAAUUCCUGGUGUAGCGGUGGAAUGCGCAGAUAUCAGGAGGAACACCGAUGGCGAAGGCAGAUCUCUGGGCCGUAACUGACGCUGAGGAGCGAAAGGGUGGGGAGCAAA